CCUACGGGAGGCUGCAGUGAGGAAUAUUGGUCAAUGGACGAGAGUCUGAACCAGCCAAGUAGCGUGAAGGAUGACUGCCCUAUGGGUUGUAAACUUCUUUUAUAAAGGAAUAAAACGAGGCACGUGUGCCUUUUUGUAUGUACUUUAUGAAUAAGGAUCGGCUAACUCCGUGCCAGCAGCCGCGGUAAUACGGAGGAUCCGAGCGUUCUCCGGAUUUAUUGGGUUUAAAGGGAGCGUAGAUGGGUUGUUAAGUCAGUUGUGAAAGUUUGCGGCUCAACCGUAAAAUUGCAAUUGAUACUGGCAGUCUUGAGUACAGUUGAUGUAGGCGGAAUUCGUGGUGUAGCGGUGAAAUGCUUAGAUAUCACGAAGAACCCCGAUUGCGAAGGCAGCUUACUAAACUGUGACUGACAUUGAUGCUCGAAAGUGUGGGUAUCAAACAGGAUUAGAUACCCGUGUAGUC
rnacentral:rRNA from 1 species